GACGAACGCUGGCGGCGUGCUUAACACAUGCAAGUCGAACGGACAGACCUGGUUUCCCUUGUGGAUUGCGGGUACUCGGGUGGCGAACGGGCGAGUAACACGCGUGUGUUCUGCCCCCAACUUGCGUAUAAGCCCGGGAAACUGGGCCUAAUUCCCUAUAGGACUGCAGGGUGGUGUCUGUGGUGGAAAACGUUUUUCUAGUGGUUGGGGAUGCGCCGCCGGAUUAUCAGCUUGUUGGUGGGGUAGUGGCCUACCAAGGCGGCGACGGGUAGCCGGACUGGGAGGGUGGACAGCCACAUUGAGACUGGGACACGGCCCAGACGCCUACGGGAGGCAGCAGUGGGGAAUAUUGCACAAUGGGCGUAAGCCUGAUGCAGCGACGCAGCGUGGAGGAUGACGGCCUUCUGGUUGUAAGCUACUUUCGAACACGAGGAAUCCACCUGGUUAGAAGGGUGGUGACGGUAGUGGUAGAAGAAGCACCGGCUAACUACGUG
rnacentral:rRNA from 1 species